rnacentral:rRNA from 1 species
UACGAAGGGGGCUAGCGUUGUUCGGAAUUACUGGGCGUAAAGCGCGCGCAGGCGGCUAUCCAAGUCAGUGGUGAAAGCCCGGAGCUCAACUCCGGAACUGCCAUUGAAACUGUUUAGCUGGAGUAUGAGAGAGGUGAGUGGAAUUCCCAGUGUAGAGGUGAAAUUCGUAGAUAUUAGGAAGAACACCGGUGGCGAAGGCGGCUCACUGGCUCAUUACUGACGCUCAUGCGCGACAGCGUGGGGAUCAAACAGG